UGCAAACCCCAGGCCACCAAAGCAGAGUGCUCGAACUUAACCGCUGCGCCACUGGUCCAGCCCUCUUUUGUUUCAUUUUUGAUGCAAAAACUCCCUGAAAAGUGUCUUCAGUUUUUUACGAGUUAACUAACACAGUAUUAGGACCAGCUGAUGGACAUUUGAGGGAAAAGAAAAUAGGUACCUAGAAGUGGAGAAAUCAGAAGCUUGGAGUACUGGGUAGAGGAACCCAGGAAAGUUAGAAGACAAAGGGAACGCCAAAGGCUGCUGUCUACACAGAAGUGCACACAGCCCUGACACACAAGGACCCCAGGGAGUGUUCAAACACGAUGGUCUUAAGGAAACCGGCUUCCGUGUGCACUCUGUCCUACGACUGCCAUCCCUGAGGGCUCACCCUGGAGGAUCACACCUGCCAUUUCAGGUGCUCAGCCCUCUUGGCAGAAGAAAAGCAUGCCUCUCAGCCAUUAGGCAUCUCCAGGAUGCCCAACAAAAGCACAAUUCAAAAUAUUGGUGACAAGGAGCCUCUUUUAAUCAGAGCAUCUAGAGCCCACAAUAGGGCUUUUAUCUUUCCCUGAUAUGUACACAUUUCAAUAAGGACAAAGGAUGGCAUUGGAAACCAGGCAUCUGGGCCUGUUUUGUGUGUUUUGAACUCUGAUAUAUUUAGAGUGAGACAGUGAGAGCAAUGGCAGCUCAGGCCUCCCAAAAAGCACAAAAGUAGAAGUAACCAAGACUUGGCUUAGACGCAGGGCUGGGACAUCACUUUGGUUAAAGUGAGUCACAGGGCCAGUCCAGAUUCAAUGUGGGAGGGUCUACAGAAGGGUGUGAGUACCGGGAGCCAUGGCCCGUCGGGAGCCAUCUUUAAAGACCAACUAUGACAGUAAAAACUUCCUCAGCUAUCUGAAUAGUUAAAGAUGGGUCUAGAAGAGUUCUCGCACUUUAACAAGUUCACCCAUAGUGUCAAUAGUUGGAAAUUUUUUGAGUUUCCAAAUACUUUAAGAGAAUUAGAUCUGUUGAUCUAUCACUCAUGCAUAUAAAUCACAUUAAUCAAAGGGCACCUAUUAAAAGCGUGGAGGCUUUGUUGGGGAGUAAUCUUUAUAUUAUUUUUGGCAUUGCUUGAUCAUAACUCUUUGGCCCUUAGAAUUUCAGAGCUAGUAGGAACUUUAGAAAUCACCUUGUUUUGGGAUGGCGCGUUUCAUUCUGAUGCAAUUUUGGUCCAUUGCUGGUAGCAUCAAAUGGCUACUUAAUAGCAUUUCAGGGAUUAGAACCAGGUCUCUUGAUUUCCCUUCAAAUGUUUUUCUCCAAACAGCAGAUUGCCUCUGUUUGGGUUUCUGUUUUUAGUAAAUAAGAGUUAAAUCGAAAGGAUUGUGUAUACCUGUUAAAGAGGUGAUGGAUCCAAAAGCUUCUAUAAUUUUCUUUUCCUCAAUUUUAAAGUAAACAUAGUAGUUCUCAAGCCCUACAUUAUUUUUUUUAUCUUCCCCUCAGUUGAUGCAAAGAUACAAUUAGCCACUAAAAAAGUCUGAAAUCCAUACUUCUUAUCUUUUUUGGAUAUGGAAGUGAAAUGUAUUUUGUUUAUAUUUUUGCCCUAUAUGGUAGAAGAUAAAGAGAACGCCUUCGUUUCAGACUGAAGAGGAUAGAGCUUUCAAUCUCAUAGUAGUUCCUUUCAUUUCUGAAUUCCAGGUAUGUAACUGGCAGCAGGUAAUAAAUUCAGGGCCACGGCUGCCUCUGGUGCCCAAACGUCCCUCCAUCACAGCGGCUGCUGGGUUACAGGGCUUGCCCGCGUAGGAGCCCACAGAAGGGCGGCAGAACCCAGGACCUGGCCCAGGAGCUUGAAUCUCAACCCUUUGACAAGUUUUUUAUCCUCUCCACCUCACUCUCCUCGUGUGUUAAAUGGGAAACUUUCAAAGAGUUCUUUUCAGUAUUGAAUGACAGCAUGUACGUGAAGCACACUGUACCGAAUACUCAGUGAGAGAGGCUGCUUUAUGCCACCCCAACUGGGUCUAACAGAGGAUGCAAAUUAUUCCCACACCUUGCUGUGCCUGAGGGCCAAAUUACUGGUUCGGUUUGGAAGAAUUGUAUCCUUGUCACAUAGGCUGUAAUGCCCACCUUCCCAUUUGCCAGAGCCCUGGGUCCUUUGGGUUUCUAAGGUGGACUGAAACGCUCUCAGCACAGCCAAACUCCUCACCUCACCUGGUCAGACUAUAUCUAAUUAUCUAGGCUCCAGACAGCAACAAGAAAAAGCUUUGAGGUCAGAGAGCCAAUUAGGAAGGUAAGGAGACUAGGGUAUAAAGAGGAAAUAGGACCUGCCAGACAGAAGACAUUACAUAGUCUGAAUAGGGACCUAUUUUUGCAUCUGAGACAUGAUGUCACUUGUGGUGAAGACCUCAAACUAAUUAUCAAAAGGGAGGGAAAUACAAUUUCCAGUAGUUAGAAGAUAUCCACCAGCCCAUAGUUCUCUAUGUAUAAUUCAUGUGAUCCUAAGUAUAAAAGGACACAUUGAGGACAUCCUAAAGAUUCAGGAAGCCACAGUAAUUUAGAAAACUUGUUCCUUUCUUGUUGCAGAAGAUUCUAAAGUUCAUGUCUUGAGAACUGACAUUUUAUCUUCCAGUCAAAAGUGCCGCAUACUCAAUUCUUAGGAAUUUGGUACCAAAAGGAAGUGGGCAGAAUGAAAAUGAAAUAUUGCUUAUGGUUAUUGAGGUGUUAUGGUGGAAUACAGAGGAGCUUGAGACGGAGCUGGGACAGCAGGCAUGGGUUUGAGGCUCAGCUUUGCUGGGGAUGGGUGUGAGGAGGUGAUAAGAGGUGAUAUUUCAAAGCCUGAACUGGCCCUAAGAGCCUCUGAUUCCCCAGCCUGAUACCCAACUGGCUGUCCAGCCCACCAUUCACAGAACUUCUUUGGAGCAUCGACACCAGAAGGUGGCAAUUCCACAAGAGAGAAGGUGGGCAAAGCUGAGAUUAUGAAACAGGUCUCUUAGAGGAGGUUUGGAAAUACUUAGAAGCCAUCAUCUGGCGGGAAGCUUGGCAUGAACAAUGACUCAUGGAGAUGACCUGUGCCUGCCCAGGCAAGACACUUUUUGGAGCAGUCCUGGGCUGGCCAGUAAUGAAGAGAACCUAGCUUUGUUUUCCUAAAGGAUUACUAAGAAAGGCAAGGGGACUGAAUGAGUUAAUGAAUAUGGAAUUUAUAAAGCAGUUUCUCUUUGGAUGCAGAGAAAUGGAAUAGUUGACUACUCAACCUUCAGAAUCCAUUCCACGGAUUAAGAUCAGGAAUAGUAAUUGGAAUAAACUGGAAUCAUGUCUGAGUGAUGGGGAAACCCGGUGUGUCAGCAGGAGCGUUGACUCAGACUGACUUAUUCUUUACUGAAAGAGGGAAGAAAGGAACGACAGGAGGGGUACCUCACCAGGCCCACUGGUAGCUACCUGUCUAACCACAGGGGUAAAGUCUAACACAGAGAGACCCACCCAAGCGGAAGUGCCCCAUGGGUUUCUCAUUUGAAAGGUAUUUAUUCUUGGGGUUGGGGGGUGGGGAAGAGUGGUAGUGGUGCUGGGUGCAAACAUAGGUACAAAGAAUCUGAAAACCACAGACAAAAGGAAAAUGAAAGUAAAGGCCUUUUUUUGAUAUAAACCAUGGAAGCGGGAAAGUAUUAGGUCUGCUGAGCAAGUGAGAAGCAACAAGCAUGUCCUUCAAGGAGCACCUGCCACACGCAGCCACAGCCAUCUGGGUGGUGCAAGAGUGUGCUUACUGGUGGGUCCACAUGGUGAGACGUUCCACCUGGGCUGCUCCUCCCAUGGGCUCCAGCUCUUCCUCUCAACCCUGCAUGCCACCAAGAAGACCUCAAGCCAAGGACAACCCUUCCUGCCCACUCGGGUCCCAGGUCCUGGGGACCUCCACUCUCAGAUAGUUCUUUGCACUAACCCAUUGCCUCAGGAGGCUGCCCUCCGAAUUGGAGGGCAUUGAUGAAGUGCUCAGGAUUUUCUCAAUGGAAGUAUUUCCCCUGUCUGGGGUGGGACAAAAUCACAUGGUUCUAGAAGCUUCCAUCUCUUUCUUUGACUAGCCCUUUUAAGAGCAUGUGCUCUACCCUCUUUCCUUGUGUGAUUGACUUUUUGGCUGUUGGAGGUUAUUGUGUGUUUGUUUUGUUUUUAAAUUUCUGUGUCAUUUCUUUGAGCAAUACAGGAGGGAGGUUCUGUGAUCCUGCUUUAUACCUCCAUCUUUAAAUAGAAGUCUAAUACAUUUAAAACAAAAUUCAGUUCAUUAAAAGGCUGCUCAGCUCAUGUCAUUUCAUGACUAUUAUUUGAAGUGAAGCAUGUCUGAGAAAAGGCAUUACAUUACCUACAGCCCAGGGUGGAAAACCAUUUAGUACAAAGGAUUAAGGAGUUUUGUUCUCUUUUGAUAGGGUGAAGACUUCCUACACGAAGUGAGAUUUCAAUUGCUGAUAGAAGGAAAGGGAAAGGCUGUUUGGGAAAGGCAGCAAGGGUUGCUAAUCUGGAAGCUGCAAUUUCUCAACCUCUACUCUUUAGAAAUGUCUGCCACACAGAGGGCUGGUGAGCAUGCAGUGAGAUGAUCCUGUGAAAGGGUUUGGAGAACCUUAAAACACUCCACAAGAGUGAGGGAUGGUUAGAGUUAGGAUGAGCAGUGAAACACGGCGUUUCUUGUCACUGGAAGAAUCACAAAGAGGCUGGAUGAGCCUGUGCCAGGGGUGCUGGGAGAGAGAACUCAACUCUUGGUGGGUGUUGGGCCAGCUGGCCCCUAAGGCCUGUCCCUGCAUGGGCCCUUGUCAACAGGGCCUGAGAUGAAAGCUCCCACUGUGCCUUCAUUUUCCGCUGUACUCAGAGGAGGCAAGAAACAAUGAGCUCAGCUUGGCCGGAGGACAGGGUGCAUUUUGCUCUCAUCCCUGCAGAGGCUUCUCCCCAAGCAUCAAACCAUGAGGCAGGACCAACUACACAGUGUGUGGGACCCAGUGCAAAAUGAAAAUGCGGAGCCUCUGGUUCAAAAAUUUUAAGAAUCUCAAGAUGGCAACAGCAGAGCAUUAAAACAAGUGCAGGUCACACAUUUAUGAAGUCAGACCUGCCAGCAGAACUGCCAAGGAGGAAACGAGGAAUGGGAAGAGCCAGCCCGCCAUGAGUCCCUGAAGAACUCUUGUAUGCUACAUCCAAGACUUUCUCAGAAGAGCCAACGAUGUCUGAUCUUUGGAGCUUCCAUUGGGUCUCAGUUCAUUUGUUCACUUACUCCUCAAAGAACCACUGAGCUGCUCCCAGGCCAAGCCCUGUGUUAAGAGCCACAGUUACAGAAAUGAGUAAGACAUGGUCCCUGUCUUCAUGAAAUGCAUACUCUAAUCAGGGAAAAGGCCUGGACACAAGUAAUCACGUUGGAAGGCAGACUCUGCUAAGAUCAUGGGAGUACAGAGAAAGAAGACACUAACUCUGCCCUUAGGGAGCCCGGCAUGGUUUCAUUGAAGUUGUAUUUAGCUAGGACAUAAGCAGAAUUUUGACAGGAGAACGUGCAGGAUAGCAUUCCAAGAAGAGCAAUGGUGCAAUCAGAGAUCUAGAAAUGAGAAAGCCCAUGGAGUGUCUGCUUUCAAACUCUUUCUUAAGGCUGGUGUGUUGCAUGACUCCACGAGAGUGCCCCUCACAUAGAAUGCAAUACGAAGGGUGCCCCCUAAAGGUGUGCAGUGUUGUGGUCCUGCCCUUCUUCAUCUGUGUUCUUUCAGUCUGUGCCCCCAGACUUACUCACCUUACACGAACCUAAUUCCAAAUGGGAGCAAAUGAACUAAAGUGGGGUUCGAAGAACACGAGGUAGGAGGAGGCUAAUGCGCAUGUAGUAAGAGAGGCUCAGGAGAGUCUCAUGGAAAACCAGCCUGAUCUGUAAGGAAAAAGUCAGAAUGGGUUGUUGAGAACGAUUUAAAAUUCUUUCUUUUAAUUACUUGCUCAACCAGCAUUUAUCUGGUGCGCUCUGGGAAGAGAAGAGCAGAGCAGAGAAGAAUCUCUCAUUGUUCAUGAUGAUUUAGGCUAGUGUUUCUUCAAGUGUGUUCCUAAGAACAAUAAAUAGUCCAGAGAGAUUCUGAGAUCAAAUAAGAGUUACAGGGAUCAAACACAUUGAGAAAAUAUGUGUAAACAAAGCAAACAGGUUUCUCUGCUCCAAUAUUUAUCAGCGCCUUUAAAAUCUUAACAUAGUUUGUGAGUCUCCAUGAGUGGGAGAUGGCAGCAAUAGUUCCCAAAGUUAUUUGAACUAUAAACCCCGUACGUUCCCAUGGAACUGGUAAGGUUGAUUAAAACCUUCCUGGGGAAACCCAAGAUUGGGGACAGGAGUUCUGAGGCAUCACUGUGAUAAUGGCAAACAAAAGAAAAAGGAUUCGUAAACGCAUGGGCAGAUGGUGUGGCAAGAAGACGCAUCAUCUCUCUCACUCCAUCCAGGAAGACUUCCUGGAGGGUGCGUGGCCUCAGGAACCAUCGAGGGAAGACAGGGCAGUCUGAAGGGAUUGAAGCUUAAUCUGUGUCACAUGAAAGCAAACAUGUACUUGGGGGAGAAUAACCAUGCAGUAAAAUGUUGUGGACUUAAGUGUCUGUUGGAACAUGCUUUGAGGGAAGGACAAGGAGGAAGGAGGAGGCCCCGGGCUUGCCUGCUCUCCAGCUGUGCCCAGCCUGAUAAAGCAAGCUCCUUGCCUUCUGGGAGCUCCUAGCAUGAUGGAGGGAUGAAGGAAAUGAUGGCUUCCAAAACACUGGACAUGAGGCCACAAAGGUCAGUGGUAGCUGAGAGAUGGGAAACAAACAAAGCAAGCCCCAGAACUGCCCCAGUUUACGGCCUUGAGAGAAUUUCUAAGCCACAGUGCAGGGAAGGGAAACCAAGAUGGAGCCCAGCAGAUUUUGUAAGUGAAGAGGAGGAGCUGGGAGUCUGGGGAGACGCAGGAAGCUACAGGACCCAUACGAGAGUAUCCAAGAGAAGAGAUUUGCACGGAAAGAGAACCCUGGAAAUGUUCAAGUUUUUGGCAGAGCACUGAUCAGCAUAUGUAUGUGAAGAAACCACCCACAGCUGGGGAAAGGACCACCCAGAAGGAUGAAGGGAAGAGUACUCAGAGCUCACACAGGGCUGGGAAAGCUUCCUAUGCCCACCAGUCAGACUGGAAAAAUUCAUAAUUUAUGGGUAGAGUACUCAGAAGGAUCUUGCUUCAGUCGUGAAAAAUAAUUAGCCUUAGACUGAAUACUGCUUUCAUGUCACCUAACGAAUCUUAAAGACCUGAAAGGA